AAAUGACUUUCCUGUUUCAGUGGCGACUUUUUUCUCCGCACCCACUGUAGAAGCAAAGCGACCGACAGACUCAAACGGCAUCACCCCCACAACGCACCGGUGUUCUGUAGCAACACGGCAUUCAUUCAUCAUGGGUGAAGAAAAAACCACCGAAGUUUUUAAAACCUACCUGGCCUGGUCAAUAUUCAACACCCUGUGCUGCUGUUUCCCACUUGGAUUUAUUGCUGUAAUCUGUUCCCUGCGGGUUGAGAAUGCCAUCGCGGUUGGAGAUACUACACGCGCAAGAGUGGCUUCUCGCCAUGCCAAGAUCUUGAACAUCACUGGGAUUAUCAUGGGAGCCAUUUUACUCAUCGCCAUUAUUGCUUUCUACGUGGUCAUUUUUCAGCUUACUAAAACAGACUAAACACCGCGCAAUGUCUUACCUUUCAGUAACAAAAAAGAUUCCUAUUUUUUAUGCUUUUCUUCCUUAUUUUAUCUUCUAUGCUUAAGACACAUGCUUACAGACUACAAUGCUUCCAUAGUCUAAGCCACUGUAGAUUUGUUUCAUAGAAUUUAUUAGGAACUACAGUAUACUGGUGGGAACUUAAUACAUGAAAAAGUAAGCAACUGGUAAAAACCAUAGAGAAAAAGAUAUGUAACAUUUAUUUGGGUACCUUUGUUCAUUACAUUGCAUUGCAUUGUACCUGCUUAAGAGAUAGACCAGGACAUUAAUUUAAACAUGAUUAACACUUUCAGUAAAAUUCUGAAAAUUAGACAGUAGAUUGCUACUUCACUUACUUUUUUUUUAUUUUUAGGCUGCAGAACCAUUUCAAGGCUUUAUAAAACUCUGUUGCAACCAAGUUUAAUAUAUAAAUGCAUUAAAGAAAUUAAAUUAUAGCCUAUUGAUGGUUUAAAAUGAUUAAAAAAACUUGACAAGAUCAAAAUUACAAGAGGAACUAAGAGCACAGACCAGAAGGAGGCAGCUAUCAAAGAUCAUGGCAGAAAGCUGGUAAAUCCAGAUCGAUCCAGAUUCAUUGCAAAACUUUCAACAAGGAUUAAGCGUCUUGGCCUGUAGCUGGCGUAGUACCAAGAUAAUGCAUCAUUUUGGCCUGUGUAGAAAUAAUUUUAAAAGGAUAGACAAAAAUGCAAAAAGCAAACUUUAAAACAGCUAACGGCAAGUCUGGCAAGACCGAUAUCCUGAUGCGUUAUAACGAAAGUUAAGUUUACGGGAAAUCAAGAGAUGUUUACACUUGACCCCAGCCUAACGGAAACGUAAGGAGUCUUUCUAGAAGUGAUAGAGCUGGAGAAAAAGCGGUGACAAUUACACCAGAUAUGCUUAAUUUUUUCUACAGGGUCAGAAUAGCAGUGCUCUAUUGUAUACAUUCAGAAGGUUAAGAAAAACCCAUCACUUCUAUUAGAAAAUAGAAGAUAGCAAUAUACUGUAUGACAAUCCAUUUAUUGUUUAAAUUUCUGAAUACAAGAGCUCAAUAAGGGUAACAAAAGCACAAUCUCUCCUUAUAAGUUCUAUCCACUUUCAUCAUGGUUUUAUCAAGUCAAAACUUGCUUUACCAUGUAGAAUCAAUGUUUUGGAUUUAAAUGAUGAAAUAUGAUACCAUUUAGGGCUUUUAUCUAGCAGUAAAAUAACUUGAGUAAAAUGUAUUCACUGAAUCACAGUACAUUAUAGAGAUGGUUAAUUACUUAAGCAAUAUUAAUGGGGUGUGCCGUAGUCAGUUAUCUAGAGGCAAAGAAAAUGGCAUAAAGACACCUCUUAAAUUCUCAAAGUAAAAAGGUCAAUUUUAAAACCCCUCAGCAAGUGACAAAUAAUACAAAACAUUUUCUAUAAUACUUUAAUGUAUAAAAAAAAGUAUCAACCAUCACAAUGUAAAUUAGUAAGCCAAUUACUUCAUUUGGCUUCCCAUUACAUCAUGGAAGACAUUUUGUAUCUCUGCUUUUGUCAUUAGCCUUUUUACAAAAUCUCAUUUUGAUGAAGACAAAGUAGACUACAUUCAACUUUAGCAGGAUUCUUGCAACUUAAAUCUUCCUUUACAUCAAACAAUUUAAAUGGAAUUCAUGUUAAGUGUGAUUCCUUAACCAAAUUGAAGCCUUUUUGGUUACCGUUGGGAAAUGAAAUUGACUGGUGAGCUGAAAAGAGAAGCCCAGGUAAUGAAACUACCCAAACAGUUUCUGCUAAUUUCAUGGCUUUUAUUUGUAGCUUAUUUUAUUUUAAACAUCUUCCUUUCACACACCAAUUUUGUACACCAUGUUCAAAGCAAAUCCACAUCCGGAUGCUUGACUUGUAGUGCAAUGAACUUGUACUGCAGCUUCUCUCAUUCCCAGCAGUGCUUUGAAAGCAGUCUCAUUUUUGCCUUAUCAGACUAGAAGCCACACACACACACUACAGCUCCAUGCUCAUUCCACAAUUAGAGGCUUGUAUAUUGGUCUAUGUCAAAUGGCCUCCUUGGCUGUUUACACAUCAUUCAAGUGCUUAUGAGCAGAUGUAGCAGAUCAUGCAAUAGGUUCUUGGUCAUUAACUUCCACUUGUGGCAACCUCUUGGCCAACUCAGCCUUACAGGAACGUUCUCACAACUCUGGGUAGAAUUCUGGUUAUAUUUUCAUCUUUGAUUUACAAGCUUAAUAAUCUGUCAUGUUGGUAAAAAUAAGUGGCUGGUGGCUCACUUUUAUUCUGAUUUCAUUAUACAGUAUUGUGAAAAUGGAUUUGAUCUCCAAAUAUUACACUUUAUAUUUGGUAUAGUAAUGUAUGUUGUUCUAAACCAUUCUUAGGAUAAAGGAUUUUCAUAUUUUUACCAUACUUUCUUUGCCUGAUAAACACCCAGCCCAAUCAUUAAACUAAGUAGAGCCUUCUUUCAUAAUAUAAAGAAAUUAAAUGAGAUAAAACAUUUCCUCUUGUGGAUUAAAGCCAAUGGGUUUUAUCAUGAAAAGAAAAUUUACUUCAACUGAAUACCUUCAUAGUUUACUUUAAAUUUAGUCUUUGAAUAUAGCAAAAACUACAAAAUGUACAAUUGUCUCUUGUUUUCAACUUCUCUUAUGUUCUUAAUUAUAUAUAAAUAUGCAGGCUAUGUUUGUUAGGGAUUGAACUCAGAAGUAGGCAGUUUGACCUCACAACUGUCACGCCACCAUUCCUACCCAUUAAGUCAUACAUGGGUCAGAGUUUUACAUCAGUAUGCUGAGCACAGCCUUCAAGUAUGCAAGCCAGCUGUUUGCUUCAGGACAAUAUUCAAUUGAUGUGUGAAGAACAGAAACCUUAUUUGUAUUUUCAGAACACAGAAACUGACUAUGACAGAUUCCCUGCUUCUUGGAAAAGGGAGUGUUUUUCAAAAAACACAAUAUGAAAUAUUUACUUCAAAAAUCCAACUUAACAUCUCUAAAAUCUAAAACCUUGACUUAAGUUACACAUUUUCUGUGGGAUGCUGGUCUAGGUUAAGAGAAAACAGCUGUUUUUUGUUAAAAUUAAAGCCUAUAUUCAUUUAUAUAAUUUUAGCCAGCGCUGUGUAAUUGUGUCCCACAGGGACACAAUUACAGCAGAGAAACAUGAUUUCCAAAUUCAAAACAGCACCGUUUAUUUAUUCCAAUAUGAACUACACUCAAGAUUCUUCCAUGAGAAGAAAGGCAUUUGCACUGUUAAACAGCUACACAGCAAGAAAACAUAAGCCAUCCAGAUCUUGAAUAAAAGUAGUAAAUGCUGUAAAGAAAUUAAAUUGGUCAAUCAAAUUAAAGGCAUGCAUAUCAUUUGACAAGUAUCGAUUUGAUUAUGACCUUAAUCAAGGGCAUCUAAUUGAUAAUGUAUAAACUGUACAGUGCCUUGCAAAAGAAUUCAGACCCUUGACCAUUUAGCUAAUUUUACAGAAUUACAAAUCCAAUACUGAAAUGUAGUCCUGUGAUUUUAUUUCUAAGCACUGAAACUCAAAUUUUAAUGUUACAUUGCUGUAUGUUAGGAAAUAUUAAGAAUAAACUGCAAUAUGCUGCUUGCAUCAA